UACGUAGGUGACCAGCGUUGUCCGGAUUUACUGGGCGUAAAGAGCGCGCAGGCGGUCGUUCAAGUCGAGUGUGAAAGCCCCCGGCUUAACUGGGGAGGGUCAUUCGAUACUGCUCGGCUCGAAGACAGGAGAGGGAAGUGGAAUUCCCGGUGUAGUGGUGAAAUGCGUAGAUAUCGGGAGGAACACCAGUGGCGAAGGCGGCUUGCUGGGCGUGAUCUGACGCUGAGGCGCGAAAGCUAGGGGAGCGAACAGG
rnacentral:rRNA from 1 species